AUGAGAAAAUUACCUGCAGCCACUAGAUAAAUGCCUCCAAUAAGCCAGAAACUUUGACAGAUACGCUUAUUCAAAGGUUAAUGCAUUCAACACUGACUGGAAAUUGCUCAUUGAUAAAAGAUUUUCUCAGAGAUGACACCAAGAUGACAACAGGGGGCAUUCUCUCUCACAAAAGCAUCGGUUAUUGAGGAAGAGAACAACACUGAGAGAAUCUUACAGUAUCUCCACCUCAGAAACCAACACUGACUGCCUUAGAAGGGAUGCCACAGACAUCCACACAUCUGUGUGACAGAAGCAACUAUACUGGUGAAGAUACAGCCUGUUCAAUCUCUCCUCACUACACCAUGGGGAACUGAAGCAUUCAUGUUUGGAGAAAACCCUUUGAAAUGAGUCCACGAAGAAUACUUCCCUCCAAGGACAUGGAACCCUGUAAAUUGAAGAUGUGACAGUUAUGGUUUUAUGCUCCCAUAAAAUGGAAGGCCAUUUUAAAAAGAAGAAUUAUUUGCUCUGAGAAAGAACAGACAAAAAGAAUUUGUAGGACCUUCUUUUUCCUUUUUCUGAGUGGGACUGACACAGAAGCUGCCUGAGCAAGUGCUGUUCAUAUUACGUGCCACCAUUAAUUUGCUCGCUCUCAAACUCAGUUUGACCCCAAGGAAGCUACUGCAUCCCUUUUUUUAUGUCUGAAGUUCUCUAAUGGAAGAUGCUGGAAAAAGAUGGAAAUUUAGACAGCUCCUUAUGGACCAAACGAAAUGGGGCCAGAAACAAAGGCGUCUCUUGUAGUUCAUGUAAGAACUGGGAAAGAAAACAGAAAAGUGGAGAGUGGAUCUGGAGAAGCAAGUGAAGAUAUUUGAAAAGAAGGCUAAGAACUGAAUUUUUCAAAUAUUGAAAGAUAGGAAAGAAUGGGACAAAGCAGCAAAGCUGACUGAGUAGGAAAUAAAAAAAGAAAAUCAAGUGUUUGCAGACCCAGGUGAUCAAUGUAUAUCAAAGAGGAGGAAUAAUCAACUAUGUCUUGUGCUGCUUCUAUGCAAUCCUCUAAGAACACCACCAAUUUGAGUGAUACAAGAUUGUUGUCCAUGAUCUGAGGAGUGUGUGGCCAUAAUAACAUAAUUUAUUGAUUGGUGCUCAUUGAAGCAUCUCCUGACCCUCAAGAAUACCAGCAAUAUGAUUCUAGAUCCCAUAACCAAUGGAUUUUAAGACUCCUUACCAUCUCUGAUUGCCCCUCAACACCAUCACCAAAUCUACAAUUCUGGGAAAUUCCAAGAAUAUGUUUCUGACUGCCUCAAAAUGGAGGACUAAACGACCAACACUGCAUAGAAAAAUUGACUUGAAUGUUUGGAUUGAUGAUUCCACAUACUCACAAAAAGAGGCGGCACUCUCCGACCGGCAGAGAGGAGGAAACAACAAACCAAAACGGCCCACAAGAACAAACGACGCAGCAAGCGGGAC